rnacentral:lncRNA from 1 species
GCCAGGCUCCGUGACACUUCAUUGGAAGGAUAUUCCAUUGCUGGUUCCAUGGAUGCACUGAGGUCCACGAGAUGGCACAGAGAAAAGCAGAAAGCUGCUCCAUGACCAUCUGGACGCGAAGAUGUGAAGGCCCUGCCCAGAGCCCAGGAGUCCAGACAGCCUGGGAGACGAGCAGGAGUUGGAGCCCAAGUUGGAGAGAGAGAGGAGAAGCCUUCCGCAGCCCAGUGUGUCCUUGACCCUGUUCAGGAGGUAAGGACAAACAGGAGUGCCGUCAGAAGUCUGCCUUCAGUUCUCACUGAGCCCCUCUGAGAAUGGAACGAUCCACCCGGGAGCUGUGUCUCAACUUCACCGUUGUCCUGAUCACGGUUAUCCUCAUUUGGCUCCUUGUGAGGUCCUAUCAGUACUGAGAUGCCACAGCUCCUGGAAUUGACUGCAACGCUCCAGAGCUGUCUUCUGUGUGCCCUGAGCUCCCACUCCUGUCAUGGGAUGCCUUUUUUCGGCACCUCACGGCACUUCUGACCUGCACGCACAGCAUCUGAGGUGCCGCCAGUGUCAGGAUCGAUCCUGUGACCUCUAAAGAUGCUGCUCUCAAGGGCUGCCAAGUGUUUGCCAGGAAGUGUUAGAUUUAUCCCCCAACUCUUACUGCAAAUGUGUUAGACAAGCCACAAGGGUAAAAGUAAACUGGAUUCACUAUGCCAUAGAAUUUUAACAAGCCCCUGAUCUGUCUCACCACACAUACCUUCAACCCACACUCAGCAACCAAACUGUAAAUCAACCUACCAGAAGAGAGAAAUGUUAAAGGAAGUCUUUGUCAGCCCCUCUAGCUAUCAUGUGAAUAAAGUUAAGUCAACCACAAAAAAUGACUUUUAGAAUUUAUUUUAGCUCCUAUUUGUGAUCCUGCAUUUGACCCUUGGCUGGUAUUGAAAGUGACAAAUGCUACAGUAUUUGUGGCAUUUGAGAUAAGCCAAGAUCCUCCAACUGCUAAGGAUUUGAAACCAAGUCAAUUACGGGUGUCACAUUUCAGAUAAUUCCAUCGGUUCAGUGCUCCUCAAACUUUCCCUCUGAAGUAGUCCCAAAGGGAGAAGGAAAAUAAAUCCAUUUCAUGAGGACGUCUGAAGCACAACCGAACUGCCCACUAAAAGCACAACGUUUCUUUGAAGUUUUGUGUUUGACCAUUAAGAGUCAUAAAAGAAUGUAUAUUUUACUCUGUAAUAUUUCCAUUGUUGCGUUCAUAUAAAUAUUUAAAAUCAUUUGUCACCAAGUAAAACUAGAACAUGAGUCAUGACCCCAAGAGUAACAUGUUCCAGUUUGGCUAUUGUCAUCAUGCAAAUUGGGCCAAUCAUUACUCAAUUACGUUUUUAACAAGGAGGGAAU